rnacentral:rRNA from 1 species
GGUCAGCCACACUGGGACUGAGAUACGGCCCAGACUCCUACGGGAGGCAGCAGUCGAGAGGCUUCGGCAAUGGGGGAAACCCUGACCGAGCGACGCCGCGUGCGCGAUGAAGGUCUUCGGGUUGUAAAGCGCUGUCUUGCGGGAAGAAGGGUCCAACGGCAAACAGUCGAGGGACUUUGACGGUACCGCAGAAGGAAGCUCCGGCCAACUCCGUGCCAGCAGCCGCGGUAAUACGGGGGGAGCGAACGUUGUUCGGAAUUACUGGGCGUAAAGGGCGCGUAGGCGGCCUCGUAAGUGGGAUGUGAAAGCCCCUGGCUCAACCAGGGACGUGCGUCUCAUACUGCGGGGCUUGAGUGCAGGAGAGGAUGGGGGAAUUCCCGGUGUAGCGGUGAAAUGCAUUGAUAUCGGGAGGAACACCAGUGGCGAAGGCGCCCAUCUGGCCUGCUACUGACGCUCAGGCGCGAAAGCUGGGGGAGCAAACAGGAUUAGAUACCCUGGUAGCCCCAGCCGUAAACGGUGAACACUAGGUGUGGGGGGCAUCGACCCCUUCCGUGCCGCAGCUAACGCAUUAAGUGUUCCGCCUGGGGAGUACGACCGCAAGGUUGAAACUCAAAGGAAUUGACGGGGGCCCGCACAAGCGGUGGAGCAUGUGGUUUAAUUCGAUGCAACGCGAAGAACCUUACCCAGGCUUGACAUGCACUGGACUGGUGUGGAAACACACCUUCUCCGUAAGGGGCCGGUGCACAGGUGCUGCAUGGCUGUCGUCAGCUCGUGUCGUGAGAUGUUGGGUUAAGUCCCGCAACGAGCGCAACCCUUGCCUCUAGUUGCUAGCAAGUAAUGUUGAGCACUCUAGAGGGACUGCCGUCGAUAGGACGGAGGAAGGUGGGGAUGACGUCAAGUCCUCAUGGUCCUUACGCCUGGGGCUACACACGUGCUACAAUGGCCGAUACAGAGGGUUGCAAAGCCGCGAGGUUGAGCCAAUCCCAAAAAAUCGGUCUCAGUUCGGAUUGCAGUCUGCAACUCGACUGCAUGAAGCCGGAAUCGCUAGUAAUCGCUGAUCAGCAGGCAGCGGUGAAUAUGUUCCCGGGCCUUGUACACACCGCCCGUCAAGCCACGAAAGCUGGUAGUACCCGACGUCGCUGUCCUAACCGUAAGGAGGGAGGCGCCUAAGGUAAGAUUGGUGAUUGGGGCUAAGUCGUAACAAGGUA